UACGGGGGGGGCAAGCGUUGUUCGGAAUUACUGGGCGUAAAGGGCUCGUAGGCGGCCAACUAAGUCAGACGUGAAAUCCCUCGGCUUAACCGGGGAACUGCGUCUGAUACUGGAUGGCUUGAGUUUGGGAGAGGGAUGCGGAAUUCCAGGUGUAGCGGUGAAAUGCGUAGAUAUCUGGAGGAACACCGGUGGCGAAGGCGGCAUCCUGGACCAAUACUGACGCUGAGUGAGCGAAAGCCAGGGGAGCAAACGGGG
rnacentral:rRNA from 1 species